CCAGAAUGUCUGAACCUUCUGAUAUCAUUCCACGCUAACAAUAAGGACUUGUGUUCAGAGCCGAAAAUGCAACACUUCUGAAACGACUCCUGUGGGUUGUGUCCAACAACUACCGCUGCUCCCACCACGCCACACCCUUGUACCCCUAAUCCUUGUCAGAACGGGGGAACGUGUUCAAUCGGAACCGGAAACGGAAACGGAAGUGUGUUCAUUUGUACCUGCCGGAUAGGCUUCUCGGGAGACAUGUGUGACAGAGUUGACCUGUGCUUCUACCAGCCCUGUAAACACGGUACGUGCAGUCUACUGCCGGUCCAGGGAUUCAGCUGUACCUGCGAUCCAGGAUUUACAGGCAUCAUUUGUGAC